UUCCAAGCCUACGGGAGGCAGCAGUGAGGAAUAUUGGUCAAUGGGCGCAAGCCUGAACCAGCCAUCCCGCGUGCAGGAAGACGGCGCUAUGCGUUGUAAACUGCUUUUCCAGGGAGAGAAACUUGCGCACGUGUUGCGCAAUUGACGGUACCCUGGGAAUAAGCAUCGGCUAACUCCGUGCCAGCAGCCGCGGUAAUACGGAGGAUGCGAGCGUUAUCCGGAUUCAUUGGGUUUAAAGGGUGCGUAGGCGGACUAUUAAGUCAGUGGUGAAAUCCUGCAGCUUAACUGCAGAACUGCCAUUGAUACUGAUAGCCUUGAGUUUGGUUAAGGUAGGCGGAAUGUGUAAUGUAGCGGUGAAAUGCUUAGAUAUUACACAGAACACCAAUUGCGUAGGCAGCUUACUGAGCCGACACUGACGCUGAGGCACGAAAGCGUGGGGAUCGAACAGGAUUAGAUACCCUGGUAGUCCACGCCGUAAACGAUGAUUACUCGCUGUUGGCGAUACACUGUCAGCGGCUAAGCAAAAGCAAUAAGUAAUCCACCUGGGGAGUGCGGCCGCAAGGUUGAAACUCAAAUGAAUUGACGG
rnacentral:rRNA from 1 species